AUCACAGUAGCGUAGUGAUUAACGCACAGCCCUGGUCAGGCGCGAGACGCGGGUUCGAAUCCAGCCUGAGAUG
rfam:Nippostrongylus brasiliensis genome assembly, scaffold: NBR_contig0012604